AACGAACGCUGGCGGCGCGUUUUAAACAUGCAAGUCGAACGAGAAUCCCGAUGCUUGCAUUGGGAGGAGAGUGGCGAACGGGUGAGUAACACGUGGAUAAUCUACCUCCAGGAUUGGGAUAACCAUUCGAAAGGAUGGCUAAUACCGAAUAACAUGGCGGUUUCAUAAGUGACAGCCAUUAAAGGUGGGGACCGCAAGGCCUAUCACCAGGAGAUGAGUCCGCGGCCCAUUAGCUAGUUGGCGGGGUAAUGGCCCACCAAGGCGACGAUGGGUAGCCGGCCUGAGAGGGUGACCGGCCACAUUGGGACUGAGAUACGGCCCAGACUCCUACGGGUGGCAG
rnacentral:rRNA from 1 species